GACUCCAUGCCCAGUGUGGAGCCCGUGCAGGGCUUGCACUGACAACUCUGAGAUCAGAUUUGAGCUGAGGUCAAUGGUUGGAUGCUUAACUGACUAGUCACCCAGCUUUCUUUUUCUUGGGCGCAGACUCCCUGAUUAGUGUGGAACCUAUGUGUGGCUCGAUCCCAGGACCCGAGGCGAUGACCUGAGGGGAAACCAAGAGUGGUCACUCAACCGACUGAGCCACCCAGGCUCCCUUCUAUUAGGUUUGCAGUAAGCAUUGGCUACUGGCAAGACCCUCACAUCCAGCAUUUUGCAAGACUGUCUAAGGAGAGAAGGCUCCCGAAAUUAACAGAGGCA